rnacentral:rRNA from 1 species
GAUGAACGCUAGCUACAGGCUUAACACAUGCAAGUCGUGGGGCAUCAUGAUGUAGUAAUACAUUGAUGGCGACCGGCGCACGGGUGAGUAACGCGUAUCCAACCUACCCUCCACUCAAGUAUAGGCUUCCGAAAGGGAGAUUAAUCCUUGAUAUCGUCAUUCUCUCUCCUGUUAGAAUGAUAAAAGGACAUCGUUUCGGUAGAGGAUGGGGAUGCGUUCCAUUAGGUAGUAGGUGGUUUAACAGGCCACCUAGCCGAUGAUGGAUAGGGGUUCUGAGAGGAAUAUCCCCCACACUGGUACUGAGAUACGGACCAGACUCCUACGGGAGGCAGCAGUGAGGAAUAUUGGUCAAUGGGCGCAAGCCUGAACCAGCCAUGUAGCGUGAAGGAUGACAGUUUUUUUGAUUGUAAACUUCUUUUCUGUGCGAUUAAAGUGUGGCAUUUAUGCCAUA